rnacentral:rRNA from 1 species
GAACGGGUGAGUAACACGUGGACAACCUGCCUCAAGGCUGGGGAUUACAUUUGGAAACAGAUGCUAAUACCGAAUAAAACUCAGUGUCGCAUGACACAAAGUUAAAAGGCGCUUUGGCGUCACCUAGAGAUGGAUCCGCGGUGCAUUAGUUAGUUGGUGGGGUAAAGGCCUACCAAGACAAUGAUGCAUAGCCGAGUUGAGAGACUGAUCGGCCACAUUGGGACUGAGACACGGCCCAAACUCCAAAGGGAGGCUGCAGUAGGGAAUCUUCCACAAUGGGCGAAAGCCUGAUGGAGCAACGCCGCGUGUGUGAUGAAGGCUUUCGGGUCGUAAAGCACUGUUGUAUGGGAAGAACAGCUAGAAUAGGGAAUGAUUUUAGUUUGACGGUACCAUACCAGAAAGGGACGGCUAAAUACGUGCCAGCAGCCGCGGUAAUACGUAUGUCCCGAGCGUUAUCCGGAUUUAUUGGGCGUAAAGCGAGCGCAGACGGUUGAUUAAGUCUGAUGUGAAAGCCCGGAGCUCAACUCCGGAAUGGCAUUGGAAACUGGUUAACUUGAGUGCAGUAGAGGUAAGUGGAACUCCAUGUGUAGCGGUGGAAUGCGUAGAUAUAUGGAAGAACACCAGUGGCGAAGGCGGCUUACUGGACUGU